rnacentral:rRNA from 1 species
AUUGAACGCUGGCGGCAUGCUUUACACAUGCAAGUCGAACGGUAGACCCUUUCGGGGGUUGAGAGUGGCGAACGGGUGAGUAAUGCAUCGGAACGUGCCCAGUCGUGGGGGAUAACGCAGCGAAAGUUGUGCUAAUACCGCAUACGACCUGAGGGUGAAAAGCGGGGGACCGGUAACGGCCUCGCGCGAUUGGAGCGGCCGAUGUCUGAUUAGCUAGUUGGUGGGGUAAAGGCUCACCAAGGCGACGAUCAGUAGCGGGUCUGAGAGGAUGAUCCGCCACACUGGGACUGAGACACGGCCCAGACUCCUACGGGAGGCAGCAGUGGGGAAUUUUGGACAAUGGGGGAAACCCUGAUCCAGCCAUGCCGCGUGCGGGAAGAAGGCCUC